rnacentral:rRNA from 1 species
CUCAGUUCGGAUUGUAGUCUGCAACUCGACUACAUGAAGCUGGAAUCGCUAGUAAUCGCGGAUCAGCAUGCCGCGGUGAAUACGUUCCCGGGUCUUGUACACACCGCCCGUCACACCAUGGGAGUCGGAAAUGCCCGAAGUCGGUGACCUAACCGGAAGGGAGGAGCCGCCGAAGGCAGGUCUGAUGACUGGGGUGAAGUCGUAACAAGGUAUC